UACGUAGGGUGCGAGCGUUGUCCGGAAUUAUUGGGCGUAAAGAGCUCGUAGGCGGUUUGUCGCGUCGGCCGUGAAAACUUGGGGCCUAACCCAAAGCGUGCAUCCGAUACUGCUGUGACUUGAGUACGGUAGGGGAGCGGGGAAUUCCUAGUGUAGCGGUGAAAUGCGCAGAUAUUAGGAGGAACACCGGUGGCGAAGGCGCCGCUCUGGGCCGAAACUGACGCUGAGGAGCGAAAGCAUGGGUAGCAAACAGG
rnacentral:rRNA from 1 species